rnacentral:rRNA from 1 species
AUGCACGAGGUCCAGGCGAAGAUCGAGGCGCUGUCCAAGCUGCAGCACCCGCACCUUGUCUCCCUCAUUGGCUUUUGUCUGUUUAAGAAGGAGAUGAUCCUCGUGUGGGAAUACAUGGAGCACGGCACGCUUCGGGAGCACCUGUACAACAACAGCGGCAAGCCGGUGCUAUCAUGUUCAUGGCGGCACCGCCUCCACAUGUGCAUCGGUGCCGCGCGGGGCUUGCACUACCUCCACACCGGCGGCAUCAUCCACCGGAACGUCAAGACCACCACCAUCCUCAUCGACAAGAAUUGGGUCGCCAAGGUGUCGGACUUCGGCUUCCCCAAGUCCGCCCUGACCAGGGCGAGCCAAAUGCACCUCAGCACCAGUCAUGUCAACGGGAGCUACGGAUACACUGACCCGGAGUAUUUUUGUCGGGAGCAGCUCACUGACAAGUCAGACGUCUACUCCUUCGGCGUCAUGCUCUUCGAGGUGCUUAUGGCAAGGACGGCGCUGAACCCGGCGCUGCCAAGUGACCAGGUCAGCCUCGCCAAUUACGCGCUUGCCUGCCAGCGGAACGGCACCCUGCCGGACGCCGUCGACCCGGUGAUCAAGGACGAGAUCACGCCAGAAUGCCUCAAGAAAUUCGCCGAGACGGCCGUGAAGUGCCUCGCUGACCAAGGCAUGGAGCGGCCUACCAUGGGGGGCGUGUUGUCCAACCUAGAGCUGGCGAUGCAGCUGCUUAAUUCCAUGCCGAUGCAAAAUAAACCACUGAUACAACAAAAUCAUAUGUUGUAUGUGUAG